AUGAUGCAUGGACUGGCUUAGUGGGGCUCCUUUACUCUGCAAAAGGAAAUCUACAAAAGUGGGUGAUUGUCUCUGGAGUUGUCUUGGCCUUUUGGAUCUUCUGUUCUUCUAGGAGCAUCUGUCUCACAACCUGAAACUAAUAAAUAUUAGAUGUAUUAUAAAUACUCUAUGUAAAACGUAUUAAAUAAAACAAUUUUAAUGAAA
rnacentral:lncRNA from 1 species